UACGUAGGUGGCGAGCGUUGUCCGGAUUUACUGGGCGUAAAGGGAGCGUAGGCGGACUUUUAAGUGAGAUGUGAAAUACCCGGGCUCAACUUGGGUGCUGCAUUUCAAACUGGAAGUCUAGAGUGCAGGAGAGGAGAAUGGAAUUCCUAGUGUAGCGGCGAAAUGCGUAGAGAUUAGGAAGAACACCAGUGGCGAAGGCGAUUCUCUGGACUGUAACUGACGCUGAGGCUCGAAAGCGUGGGGAGCAAACAGGAUUAGAUACCCGUGUAGU
rnacentral:rRNA from 1 species